GAUGAACGCUGGCGGCGUGCCUAAUACAUGCAAGUCGAGCGAACGGACGAGAAGCUUGCUUCUCCGAUGUUAGCGGCGGACGGGUGAGUAACACGUGGAUAACCUACCCAUAAGACUGGGAUAACUUCGGGAAACCGGGGCUAAUACCGGAUAAUAUUUUGAACCGCAUGGUUCAAAAGUGAAAGACGGUCUUGCUGCCACUUAUGGAUGGAUCCGCGCUGCAUUAGCUAGUUGGUAAGGUAACGGCUUACCAAGGCAACGAUGCAUAGCCGACCUGAGAGGGUGAUCGGCCACACUGGAACUGAGACACGGUCCAGACUCCUACGGGAGGCAGCAGUAGGGAAUCUUCCGCAAUGGGCGAAAGCCUGACGGAGCAACGCCGCGUGAGUGAUGAAGGUCUUCGGAUCGUAAAACUCUGUUAUUAGGGAAGAACAUAUGUGUAAGUAACUGUGCACAUCUUGACGGUACCUAAUCAGAAAGCCACGGCUAACUACGUGCCAGCAGCCGCGGUAAUACGUAGGUGGCAAGCGUUAUCCGGAAUUAUUGGGCGUAAAGCGCGCGUAGGCGGUUUUUUAAGUCUGAUGUGAAAGCCCACGGCUCAACCGUGGAGGGUCAUUGGAAACUGGAAAACUUGAGUGCAGAAGAGGAAAGUGGAAUUCCAUGUGCAGCGGUGAAAUGCGCAGAGAUAUGGAGGAACACCAGUGGCGAAGGCGACUUUCUGGUCUGUAACUGACGCUGAUGUGCGAAAGCGUGGGGAUCAAACAGGAUUAGAUACCCUGGUAGUCCACGCCGUAAACGAUGAGUGCUAAGUGUUAGGGGGUUUCCGCCCCUUAGUGCUGCAGCUAACGCAUUAAGCACUCCGCCUGGGGAGUACGACCGCAAGGUUGAAACUCAAAGGAAUUGACGGGGACCCGCACAAGCGGUGGAGCAUGUGGUUUAAUUCGAAGCAACGCGAAGAACCUUACCAAAUCUUGACAUCCUUUGACAACUCUAGAGAUAGAGCCUUCCCCUUCGGGGGACAAAGUGACAGGUGGUGCAUGGUUGUCGUCAGCUCGUGUCGUGAGAUGUUGGGUUAAGUCCCGCAACGAGCGCAACCCUUAAGCUUAGUUGCCAUCAUUAAGUUGGGCACUCUAAGUUGACUGCCGGUGACAAACCGGAGGAAGGUGGGGAUGACGUCAAAUCAUCAUGCCCCUUAUGAUUUGGGCUACACACGUGCUACAAUGGACAAUACAAAGGGCAGCGAAACCGCGAGGUCAAGCAAAUCCCAUAAAGUUGUUCUCAGUUCGGAUUGUAGUCUGCAACUCGACUACAUGAAGCUGGAAUCGCUAGUAAUCGUAGAUCAGCAUGCUACGGUGAAUACGUUCCCGGGUCU
rnacentral:rRNA from 1 species